AAAAAAAAAAAAAAAAAAAAAAUACCAACGACCACCAUUUCACUCCUCCGCACAGUUGUUUUUGUUUGUUCGGUUGUUUGUUGUUUGUUUUGUUUU
rnacentral:ribozyme from 12 species